AUUGAACGCUGGCGGCAGGCCUAACACAUGCAAGUCGAGCGAGAAAGCGCCUUCGGGUGCGAGUACAGCGGCGGACGGGUGAGUAACGCGUAGGAAUCUACCCAGUAGUGGGGGACAACUUGGGGAAACCCAAGCUAAUACCGCAUACGCCCUUAGGGGGAAAGCGGGGGCUCUCUUCGGAGACCUCGCGCUAUUGGAUGAGCCUGCGUUGGAUUAGCUAGUUGGUGGGGUAAAGGCCCACCAAGGCGACGAUCCAUAGCUGGUCUGAGAGGAUGAUCAGCCACACUGGGACUGAGACACGGCCCAG
rnacentral:rRNA from 1 species